rnacentral:rRNA from 1 species
GAUGAACGCUGGCGGCGUGCCUAAUACAUGCAAGUCGAGCGAAUGGAUUAAGAGCUUGCUCUUAUGAAGUUAGCGGCGGACGGGUGGGUAACACGUGGGUAACCUGCCCAUAAGACUGGGAUAACUCCGGGAAACCGGGGCUAAUACCGGAUAACAUUUUGAACCGCAUGGUUCGAAAUUGAAAGGCGGCUUCGGCUGUCACUUAUGGAUGGACCCGCGUCGCAUUAGCUAGUUGGUGAGGUAACGGCUCACCAAGGCAACGAUGCGUAGCCGACCUGGGAGGGUGAUCGGCCACACUGGGACUGGGACACGGCCCAGACUCCUACGGGAGGCAGCAGUAGGGAAUCUUCCGCAAUGGACGAAAGUCUGACGGAGCAACGCCGCGUGAGUGAUGAAGGCUUUCGGGUCGUAAAACUCUGUUGUUAGGGAAGAGCAAGUGCUAGUUGAAUAAGCUGGCACCUUGACGGUACCUAACCAGAAAGCCACGGCUAACUACGUGCCAGCCGCCGCAGUAA